rnacentral:lncRNA from 1 species
CCCACGCCGGCGGGAGCCGCCCGUUCGCGCUGCCAGCAGCUUCCGCCUGCUACGGUCCUGGCAAGCACCUCGGGAUCCCAUUCCUUCACAGGGACCCUAGCCAGUUAAAGCUGAUACAUUCCUGUGGGUCAACUAUGCAACUAACUCAGAUUUUGAGCAAACAAAGCUCUCAAGUUGGUGAUCCUCAGGAGUCUCUGCAUUAGUUGGACAGCUCUUCUGGAAUUAUCUUCUAAGUCAACUGUGGGUUGGGUAGGUGGCUCUGCUGAUUUUUCGCUGGACUUCCACAUUUGGGACGAGUUGGCUGUCAUCAGCUCUAGAAAGGGUGUGGCCGUUUUACAUUGGCUGUUUUCCUCACAUUCCUCAAGCAGGUACUGUAAUAAAGAACUGGAGAAAUACAGUCAGAUGGGAAGUAGCCCUUGCUGUCAAGGAGCUUGCCAUCUAAUGGGGGAGACAGGCAAGUAAACCAAAGACUACACAGUGCAGUAUGGUAAGUGCCAUGAUUUUGAUGUGACAGGGCACAGUGGACGACCUUCCAAAUCAAAGCAAGUAACUAGGGGUUGACAAUGGUAAGUAUCAUAGUUGAAGUAUCCUUGAACAAGGUUUCAGGAAGAAGAAGAAGGGAAUUUCAUGCAGGGAAACAGCCAAAGCUCAGUGAGUCAAAAUAUCACAGCAUUCUUGGUAAGCCCAAUUGUUUUUUCUGUUUUGCUAUUUUGGUGGAGAGAAAGGAACACAUAAAGGAAUAACAUGAGAGAAGGCUAUUUGGGGAAGUGUAGUAGUUAAGGUUCUGGCUCAAACAACAACUGCAGCUCAUAAAGUUGACUUUAGUGGAAGGAUACUGGGGUAUCUCAUGGAAUCUUGGGAACUGUUGAAUAACCAGGGAAACUCUGGGAAACUCACUGGUAGGAAUCCAUAAACUGUCCUCCUGGUGGGCUGUAAACAACUCACCCUCUAUGCAUCUCACAUCAAAAUUCCAGUUUCUUGGGAAAACAAGUCUGUUUGCCCAAUUUGGGUCAUAUUUCCACGUCCAUGUUACUCAGGCAUGAUUCAUCUGCAAGUUAUGUGUAUAGAUAUUUUGCUACUGUUCCACCCUUACGCUGUGCUGGGGAGGGAGGUGUCACUGUGAGCUGUGUCGGUGCCUUAAGAGAUAUCUGUUGUGUCUUAUUACUUGGUUGCUUUUCCCCACAUGUACAAUGACAAAAAUGCCUUCAACCUAUUUGAUCCAGCCGUUCCAGUACAACUCCUAUACUUGCCAUCUUUCCAAGCCCAAAGGUACAUCCAGCUGAUGGAAGGAGCAUCUUGGUGUUAAUAUUCUUUUAGUCAUGGUCUCUGAAAGUAAAAUGUCUAUUCUUCUAAUUCUGGCACAAUCUUAUCUAGCUAUAGUUCCUCAUGGUCCUGCACUCCAUGGACUAAAUUGUAAGUAUAAUUACUACCAAUGUACUCUAUAAAUAACUUUUGGGGCCAGGGUGGCAAUAGUUGCUAGAGAGAAAAAAAAAAAAAAGGAAGGAGAAGAAAACAGUGAUAGUUCUUAUUUUAAAAGGAAAAAAAGAGGCAGGAGGCUCUCUUGAGGCCAGGAGUUUAAGACCAGCCUAGGCAGCAUUUCAAGACCCUGUCUCUACUAAAAAGUAAAAAAAAAAUUUAGUCAGGCAUGGUGGCAUGCACCUGUAGUCGUAGCUACUCAGGAGACUGAGGUGGGAGGAUUGAUUGAGCUCAGGAGUUUGAGGCUGCAGUGAGCAAUCAUCAUGCCAUUGCACUCCAGCCUGGGCAUCAGAGCAAGACCUUGUCUUUUAGGAAAAAAAGGCAGGGAAGAGGAAUAGGUAAUUUUUCAGUGUUCAGACAUUCCAGCAAUAUGUGUGGAGUACUCAUUCUCACUACAGUUUAUGAGGCCAUAGCUAGUAUGUAUGACUACCCAUCCAAGUUUCCCUGCUUACAGUUACUAUUCCAACUGAUUGGGGGGCUUUUCCUAAUAGAGUGAUUUAAGCCUUCAUUUUUAGACAUCUAAGCCCUUGGUGAUCAUCAGCAUAAAAUGUGACAAAUUAAACAAAAGCAAGACAGCACAUCAGAGAACAACUCUGAGGUGGAAUGAUUGGGAACCAAUGAAUAGUUGUUCAGUAAAUGGUUUAUAUUUUACAGAUGAUGAAACUGAAACACAAAAAAUUUAGAUUAACUCUUAGGUGACAAAGCCAGGAUUGAAGCUCAUGCGGUCUGGCUCCAGAACAACUCUUCUUCAUAGUUACGUUAUACUGCCCCUGCAUUGUUGGUAUUGAAAAUAACUGAUACCGUGCUUCCAGAAGAUUUUUCUAACAGUGUUUGCAAGCUAUAAAAUAGUGCUUUCACUUAGAAAAGGCUAGACGUGGUGGUUCAUGCCUGUAAUCCCAGCACUUUGAGAGGCCGAGGCACCAUGCUGGGAGAUAAGGAUCCAACAUAAGACAAACAGUGCUGAUGCUUUUGGAAAGCUCAUAUUCAAGCUGGGGAGACAAACAACAUACAAGAGGGCUCUGAGAGAUUUCAUUUCUGUCCUGCUGAUGAAGUCUACGUUCAUUCAGGGCCUGCUGUGGAAGACCAGCCCCAAAGUUGCUGAACAGAAGACUUUUGAGAGUCAGCAGAAAUCUUCCACUUUGCAUGGUUCUCUUGAUGUGAAAUCAUCUAUAUAGCCCCAGAAUUGGAAAAG